GGCCGGCACCGAGUCUGGACAAUUUGGAAGACGCCAGCAGGUAACUGGCCUCCCAGAACACCCCUGAGAACUAAAGGCCUCGGGAGGCUCGUUAUGUGUUUGUGCUUUUGUAAAGGCGACGUCCAGGCAAUAGGCUUGGGAAUGAUGCACUUUCAUCCACAAAGUUGUGGAGUUUCAAGGAGUGAGCGGGUGUGACACCGCCAGAAACCUUGAUUAGAAUCUGACCCCGCCCGGGAUACACAAAAACACCCGCGAGUGCGCGCUUCACGAGUUUGCUUUGAGAGCGCGGAAAGAACAUGUCAGCCUGCGUUCAGCUAGAGCUUUCUUUGAACAGAACAUUUCAGUACUGAAUGUCAAGCGGAGAAGGGAAGUAACUAGAACUUCUGGUCCCACCUCAGCUACCAGUGUCUGCGUCUCCUCGAAGCAGUGCAGACAGCAGCCAGGGUCCGCGCGCAGCAAUGCGGCGAGAAAGGCAAAGUGCGGGCGCCGAAGUAGUCGCCUCCGCCACACUCACGCCUCCCGGAGAGCGCGGGAAGACCGAGCCCCAGCCACAUCCCCUCCACCCCCACCAGGCGCUCUCGGGGUGUGGUGCCGGAGGGCCGUGAGGUCAGCGUUCGGAGGGGUUCCGGGAAGGCGCCAAGGGGCAGAUUCCAGCUGUCCGGCCGGCCGGAGCGCACGCGCACCUUCCUGGGUACCGCUGAUUGCAAGCCUGAGACUGCGCGGAGCUGAGCUUUGUGGCCAGGGGCGCACUAGAGGCUGCAGGGAGUUGGAAGACGCUGCAGCCCUGAGCUGGCACCGGGAGGCCAAGGGAGAGCGCAGAGUUGAGAGGACAGGGCAGUAGGCCUGGCUGUCUGCAAAAGUGGCCUUCUGCAGCAUUCCAAACUGCCAUCUACCUGGUGAUUUACGGCUGAGAAAACGGAUACUGCAGUGAGCAAGAACAGAAGGAAGCCAGCGCCGGACAGCUGCGCAGAGCCGCCGAGAAAGAGGUGAUACAAGACCUGGAAAGCGCUCUAGAGCCUUCGGGCCAGCUUUAAAGAAAAAAGCGGAGAAGCAGAAGAUAUCCCGGCUCCGGAGAGCUUGGAGCACCCAGCGGACUUGUGCAACUCCCUGGGCUCUGGACCCUCACCUGCCUUCUCCAAGAGGCCACUAGUCUGUUUUACAGCGGUGCCCCAGAGUUUUGUCCCUCUGGACUGUGACGCUCCAAGUCAGGGCCGGACUGCAUGGAAAGCCAAGUUUAUAAACAAGAAACUCUAUUCUCCAAUGUUUUCGAGGGAGCGGCUUAGGAGUCAAGCAACAAGAACAGCAACAACAAAAACGGCCAAGUUUUGCGUGCAGUUUACAAUGGUGUAACCAACCAAACUUUGAAAGGAGAACAGUUAGAAGUCACCACAAACAGGCUACUUUGUUCCGUUUUUAUAAGGUGCCUACAGUGAAAGGAAAAACUGGUUAGUGCGACUAGCUGAUCAGAGUUUUAAUGUAGUCCCCAGACGAUUUUAAAAAGUAAUUUUGUGGUCAGAAUUAAAACUUACUCAACACACA